GUGAGCGUAGCCGAGUGGUCUAAGGCAUCUGGUUGUGGCCCAGAAGAACGUGGGUUCGAAUCCCACCGCUCACCCCA
rnacentral:tRNA from 1 species